ACACAUGCAAGUCGAGGGGAAACGACAUCGAAAGCUUGCUUUUGAUGGGCGUCGACCGGCGCACGGGUGAGUAACGCGUAUCCAACCUGCCCACCACUUGGGGAUAACCUUGCGAAAGUAAGACUAAUACCCAAUGACGUCUCUAGAAGACAUCUGAAAGAGAUUAAAGAUUUAUCGGUGAUGGAUGGGGAUGCGUCUGAUUAGCUUGUUGGCGGGGUAACGGCCCACCAAGGCAACGAUCAGUAGGGGUUCUGAGAGGAAGGUCCCCCACAUUGGAACUGAGACACGGUCCAAACUCCUACGGGAGGCAGCAGUGAGGAAUAUUGGUCAAUGGACGAGAGUCUGAACCAGCCAAGUAGCGUGCAGGAUGACGGCCCUAUGGGUUGUAAACUGCUUUUAUAAGGGAAUAAAGUGAGUCUCGUGAGACUUUUUGCAUGUACCUUAUGAAUAAGGACCGGCUAAUUCCGUGCCAGCAGCCGCGGUAAUACGGAAGGUCCGGGCGUUAUCCGGAUUUAUUGGGUUUAAAGGGAGCGUAGGCCGGAGAUUAAGCGUGUUGUGAAAUGUAGACGCUCAACAUCUGCACUGCAGCGCGAACUGGUUUCCUUGAGUACGCACAAAGUGGGCGGAAUUCGUGGUGUAGCGGUGAAAUGCUUAGAUAUCACGAAGAACUCCGAUUGCGAAGGCAGCUCACUGGAGCGCAACUGACGCUGAAGCUCGAAAGUGCGGGUAUCGAACAGGAUUAGAUACCCUGGUAGUCCGCACGGUAAACGAUGGAUGCCCGCUGUUGGUCUGAAUAGGUCAGCGGCCAAGCGAAAGCAUUAAGCAUCCCACCUGGGGAGUACGCCGGCAACGGUGAAACUCAAAGGAAUUGACGGGGGCCC
rnacentral:rRNA from 1 species